rfam:Sulfolobus solfataricus P2, complete genome.
GGGAUCCCUAGCGGGGGUAACGGGGCAAACCCUGAGGAAACUCCGGCCUCCAACCCUUACAAGAACCCCGUAAGGGGUAGGGAUAGAAUCCCUGGCUACUACACAGAAACGAAGCCCUAAUACUAGAUAGAUGAUUGGACCUACUAGCAAGUAAUUGCUAGUAGUACAUGAUAGAUGAAAGUAUUAGGGCUUGAAACGGUAGACCUCUUGGGAGCAAGUUGAAGGGGGAUGAGCAAAGGGUUGACUCCUUAUAGUACGCUUAGUCGAAUCCCCUCAGUACAGAAGCCGGGUUAUGCUAGGGAUCCC